UUCGCAAUGCCCGAAAGGGUGACGAAGCGACGCCGCGUGGGUGAGGAAGGCCUUCGGGUUGUAAAGCCCUGUCAGGAGUUAAGAAAUGUAAGUGCGCUAAUAUCGUAUUUAUUUGACGAAGGCUCCAAAGGAAGCCACGGCUAACUCUGUGCCAGCAGCCGCGGUAAUACAGAGGUGGCAAGCGUUGUUCGGAAUUAUUGGGCGUAAAGAGCGCGUAGGUGGGUUUGUAAGUCAGAUGUGAAAGCCUUCUGUUCAACGGAAGAAUUGCAUCUGAAACUGCAAGUCUUGAGUGUAGGAGGGGAGAAUGGAACUUCUGGUGGAGCGGUGAAAUGCGUAGAUAUCAGAAGGAACGCCGGCGGCGAAAGCGAUUCUCUGGCCUAUUACUGACACUCAGUGUGCGAAAGCUAGGGGAGCAAACGGGAUUAGAUACCCCGGUAGUCCUGGCCGUAAACGAUGGGCACUAAGUAGAGGGGUUUU
rnacentral:rRNA from 2 species